rnacentral:rRNA from 1 species
UACGUAGGGGGCAAGCGUUGUCCGGAUUUAUUGGGCGUAAAGAGCGCGUAGGCGGUCAGAUAAGUCCGCUGUGAAAUCUCGAGGCUCAACUUCGAGCUGUCGGUGGAAACUGUCUGGCUAGAGUCCGGAAGAGGAGAAUGGAAUUCCUGGUGUAGCGGUGAAAUGCGCAGAUAUCAGGAAGAACACCCGUGGCGAAGGCGGUUCUCUGGGACGGUACUGACGCUGAGACGCGAAAGCGUGGGGAGCGAACAGG